AUAUAAUACUCAACCACCAACAAAUCAAUCCACUUAUGAAAACCAUAAAUUAAAUCAAGCCUCAAAGACUGUAGGAGAUAAGUGAUCACCUCUUCUCUAACAAGGCUGCUACCAUCCAACGAGAACGAUAAAUCCAUGAUUGGCCCAAAAGCAGCAUAUAAAUCCUUUAUACGAGCCUCCAACAAAGAACCGUUAUACACGUAUGAAUCUCUCUUUUUUCAUUUGGACGGCCGAAAGGAGCUGAAGAAAAGUGGUCCACUGAUCAAACAGUUUGGAGUUCGGACAAGAAGUUUCAAACAAUCUUUGCUGAAACAGGAUAAGACCAGAUUUGUCCUGUAAUCGGUGUAUGCUACAUGUCACAC
rnacentral:lncRNA from 1 species